UUUGACCAAGUAAUCACCAUAAUCUUCAGAAUUGGCGAUAUUUGCAAAUAAUUUAUGCCACUGGCCAUAGUAAUGGGUGGGCUCUGAUUUGGCUGCCAUUUUUACUACAGGAUUCUACUGGUCCCAAAGGCAUGAGUACCUUUUACAUCCACAUGAUGGUUUUUUUUAAUUCUAGUGCAUCAUUCAAUAACCUUUUAGUUGUUAGGUUUUCUACCCAUAUGAAUUGUGCACUAGUUGCUUCUGACUAUAUAAACCGUUCCUGAUCUGACCAAACCAUAGCCUUCAAGAAACAGGGCGUAGAAUAUCCAAACUUCAAUCGAAUCUCAAGGUGAAGAUUUGCCAGACACCAUGAAAGAGCAACUGAAAGCAAGCAGGAUUAAGAUCUUGGCUGCCUUCCUGGUCUUCGCCAUGGUUACUCAAGGCUUCGCGAUUCGUGUCAAGGGGACAGUGAGGAAUGACAUGACAGAUGAGGCUAUCAGCACGAAAACCACCCUCGGUGCAGGCAGCAGCACAACGGUGGACAACCACCAUGCAAUCCCACGGGAUCAGUAUAGUAGCCAUGGAGGAGAGGACGGAUCUGGUGGCAGUGGUGGUGAUACUACAAAGAACUAGUACCAUUCUCUGAAACUGUUCUGUUCGCCGAAGAUAUAUAUAUUCUGAUCUCUAAUGUCAUAUUGUAUAGAUGUCAGCGGCGCUAAUAUUAUUACUAUUCAUGUCUACAUGAAAAUAAGCUGCUGAAGGGAAGAGUAAUGUCGAAGAUAAUAUGCAUGUUAUUUACAUCCUCACAGAAGGAAAAAGCUAUGUUUUAUUUUAAAAAUAAAGAAGAAGCUAUAUAUGUAAUAGAUGUAACAUUCGCGCGUGUGUGUGUAAGGAAACUUUUAUGAUGUACACGGCAGCCAUGAAUAAAUUCAUGCCUACAAUCUGUUGUUCUGGAAAGAACCAAAUUAACUGCAUACAUAUGGUUGAGUACUGAUUAAUCA